GACGAACGCUGGCGGCGUGCUUAACACAUGCAAGUCGAGCGGUAAGGCUCCUUCGGGGGUACACGAGCGGCGAACGGGUGAGUAACACGUGAGUAAUCUGCCCUUCACUUCGGGAUAGCUUCCGGAAACGGAAAUUAAUACCGGAUACGACCAGCCUCUGCAUGGUGUGUUGGUGGAAAGUUUUUUCGGUGGAGGAUGUGCUCGCGGCCUAUCAGCUUGUUGGUGAGGUAAUGGCUCACCAAGGCUUCGACGGGUAGCCGGCCUGAGAGGGUGACCGGCCACACUGGGACUGAGACACGGCCCAGACUCCUACGGGAGGCAGCAGUGGGGAAUAUUGGACAAUGGGCGGAAGCCUGAUCCAGCAACGCCGCGUGAGGGAUGACGGCCUUCGGGUUGUAAACCUCUUUCAGCUCCGACGAAGCGCCCCAAUAGGGUGGUGACGGUAGGUGCAGAAGAAGGACCGGCCAACUACGUGCCAGCCGCCGC
rnacentral:rRNA from 1 species